AACGGCCGCGGUAUUUUGACCGUGCAAAGGUAGCGCAAUCACUUGUCUUUUAAAUAAAGACCUGUAUGAAUGGCACAACGAGGACUUAACUGUCUCCUUUUUCCCAUCAAUGAAAUUGAUCUCCCCGUGCAGAAGCGGGGAUACUUACAUAAGACGAGAAGACCCUAUGGAGCUUAAGCCGCAAGGACAGAACAUGUUAUUUCUUUUAAUUAAAAGAUGAAACCAAUUGUAGACUGUCCAAGUGUCUUUGGUUGGGGCGACCACGGAGUACAAAAAAACCUCCAUGAGGAAUGAAGAUAUUUCUUUCCACCUAAGAAUGACAAUUCCAAGAACCAGAAUUUCUGACCAACUUGAUCCGGCAAAGCCGAUCAACGAACCGAGUUACCCUAGGGAUAACAGCGCAAUCCUCUUUUAGAGUCCAUAUCGACAAGAGGGUUUACGACCUCGAUGUUGGAUCAGGACAUCCUAAU
rnacentral:rRNA from 1 species